UUAGCAUAAACGAAACUAGUGCUAUUUUUUAAGCGCAAACGUUGAAAUAUAAAACAAAGUAUUUUUAAAUAUCAAUUUCCCACUGUAAACAAAACAAAAGCAUAAAGUGUGCAUUUUACAUUCUUCUCUAAUUGAAAAAAAAAAAUAUUAAAAAAGGGAGAAGCAAAAAAUCAUGUGAAAAAUCGAUUGGAAAGUAAAAUUAUGUUUUUGGUUAGACACUGGAAUAUAUGAACGUCAAAAAAACUGACAAACGCGUUUAUCAAAUGACAUCAGUGAGAAAAAUUUAGUAAAUAUUUGCAAUAUUUGCAAAUACGCAAAAAAAAAAGCAAAAAAUCUAAAAGCAAGAAUUUAAGAACAAUGUGUUCGUGAAGAAAAAGCAAAUAAAUGUGGCAGAAAAAGAAAAGCAUUCGAAACUUGUUUAAUAUAUUCGAGAGAAGGUUUUGAAAAUAAUGGAAUCAAAUCCUAAUGGGAUAAAAAUAGAGCCAACAAUUGAUCAACAGCAGCAUUCGCAAUACACAACGGCUUCACACCUGUUAUCUAUAAAUGGCCCAAAUGCACGUUUGCUUAUCGAGCAUCCAUCAACAUUGUUGGUUCCACUAUCGCAUCACCAACAACAGUUGCAACAACAACUGGAGCUACAACAACAACAACAGCAACAACAAUUGCAACAGCAUCAACUGCAACAACAGCAACAACAUCAUUUACAACAGCAAGAGCAACAAUUGCAACUGCAACAACAACAGCACCAACAGCAAUUGCAAUUAGGCAUAUCUCCAUAUCCACAACCGCUCUCACUUAAACAAGCUCCACCGCCUACUACAGUUGCUGGUGCAGUAGGAGUAGCUACGCCUGCACUUGGUCCCGGUUCUGUAACUUCAUCGACAUCAUCUAAUCAUCAACGCUGGAACGAGAGUCCAGAAGCACGUUUACGCCGCUUAGCACGCAAUGCUGAAAGAAUGCGCGAGCGGCGUAAUCGUGAAACUGAAGAUGAGUACCGUAAACGGCUUUCUCGUAACGCAGAAGCCAAUCGUCAACGACGUCAAAAUGAAAGUGAAAUGGAGCGUGCUAUGCGGCUUGUUCGCAAUGCAGCUCGUCAACGUCUCCGCCGUGCCAUGGAAUCACCAGAUCAACGCUCAAAGAGAUUACAAAAGCUCGCUGAGCGCAUGCGUCUUUAUAGGGCUAAUGAGACACCUGAUCAACGUAAAGUACGACUCUCCGAAAUGGCUGCAAGAGCUCGUCAACGUAUAGCAAAUGAGAGUCCAGAUGAACGCAAGGAUAGACUGAGAAAGCUUAACGAUUAUGCAAAAAAGGUCAGAGAAAAGAAAAAAAUAUUGAAGCAGAACCCGAAUCAGGAUUCUCCUCAGAAUUCUAAUCAACUGCAAAGCAAUUCAGCUAAUUGUACUAAUAACGAGAAUAUUAAUUUAAAUCAGGCAACACCAACAGCAGGCAGUAAUAUGACUCAACAGCAGCAACCGCAUGAUGAUCAACAACAGCAGCAACUACCACCUUAUCAACCGCAGCAAGGCGCAAUUGCUAAUCCUAUUGAAUAUUACCAAAAUAUGUUCAUAAGUCCAACAACUUUAAGGCCCACACUACUGAAGCAAGAGCAACCAUCACAACAAGGACACCAGGAACACACUUUGCAAGGACGUUUCCCACAACAGCAGCAGACAAUUUUGGACUCUGACUCAAAUAGUCUAUUUCAGCAACAGUAUGAUAAUGACCAAAAAGGUACAAUUGUUACUUCGACCCCUUCAAAAUUGCCACAAGCACAUGUGCCCCAUUUCAACACAAUUGCCAGUUCCUUAGAAAUAUAUCAAAACAAAUAUAUCAAGAAGCAGGAACUUCAGACUAACAGUAACAACAAUAACGCGAACAAUCAAACAAAUUUAGAGCAAACUGAAACUAAAGUAAUAGUUGCAUCGGCGUCCAACAAUGAAAAUCAAAAACUUAAAUCCUCGCAUCCCCAGAUACAAAAUCCACCAACGCCACUGUAUAAUCAGUUUUCCUAUUUAGCAACAUUUCCUGCUGGUGCUAAUUCUACGAGUACGGUUGCAACUGGACCUACAUCACCUAGCAGUACACCAACUCAAGCUGCAUAUUAUCCUAUGUACCAUAACGGCUUCCAAUUGGGAAUAGCGCCCAACACAGUCCCACCACCCUUUACACCUGUGCACUUUUCCAGCAACUCUAACAAUGGCAGUCCGCCGGCAUCUGGAUCUCAACCAGUUGCUGGUGCUUAUAAUAUAUUAACUAAUACAGCAGUUGCUGCUGCAGUUGCUUCCACAACACCGAACCCUCAAGUAAUACAGGAUUUUCCAAAACCGGUCCGCGGACGCCCUAGAAAACUUUACUUCAAUAAUUCAAAUAGCGGGCAAAACGAGGAGGCUUUACGACAGCAGCAGAAAGUGAAUGCUUUACUUGAACAAGAAAUAAAUAAUAUGCUUUCAGCACCUCAAAUUUCUCGCCGUGGACGUGGUCAACAUUCCUCUCCGACGGGUUCAACUCGAAGCAGUAAUCAGCACAAAUAUGAAACAGAGGAAGAAAAACGCAUUCGUUUAGACAAAAUGGCAGCGCAUCAACGUGCAGUACGAGCCAAUGAAACUCCUGAUCAACGAGCUGUGCGUUUGCGUAAAUUAAGUGAAAGAGCACGUUUAAAGCGAGCAGAAGUGCGUGCAACAGAAAGUCCUGAUGAAAGAAAAGUCCGUUUGGCCAAACAAGCUGAGUAUGCUCGAAUGCGCAGAUUAAGAACACACAGCACUAGAAAAACUGAAGAUCGAUCUCUACAACUGUAUGACCAAUUGGAGGAAGAUGUAUCAAAUACAUCGCAUGAAAUGAGAGAACAAGAAAUGCUUCAGCAAAAAGAUCAACAGCAACAAACAGAAUUACUACAAAGACAACAGCAGGAUUUACAAUUGCAGCAACAGCAACAACAAAUUCUUCAAGCAAAUGAUUCCUUGGCUACGGCACAACUUCAACAUCAGCAUCGUUUAAUGGCUUUAACAAGCCAACAAGAUCAGCAAAUGUCCGCACCGCCAAAUUCUGGAUAUGGCAAAUCAACUGGCAAAGAAUAUGCACAGCCUGAAAAUAAUGAUAUGCUUAAAAUUCUCGAACCUAUCAUUGUAAUGAAAACAAAAUAGGAAUGGUAACAUUACAACUAUACAACAUACGUAUAAUAAGUAAACUAACUAAAUUAAAAUGAAAAUCACAACUUUACAUACCUUUAACACA